rnacentral:rRNA from 1 species
GACAGAGGGUGCAAACGUUGUUCGGAAUUACUGGGCGUAAAGCGCGUGUAGGCGGCUAUGCAAGUCGGAUGUGAAAGCCCUCGGCUCAACCGGGGAAGUGCACCCGAAACUGCAAAGCUAGAGUCUCGGAGAGGAUCGUGGAAUUCUCGGUGUAGAGGUGAAAUUCGUAGAGAUCGGAAAGAACACCAACGGCGAAAGCACUCUGCUGGGCCGACACUGACACUGAGAGACGAAAGCUAGGGGAGCGAAUGGG